rnacentral:rRNA from 1 species
CACGGGGGGAGCAAGCGUUGUUCGGAAUCACUGGGCGUAAAGGGCGUGUAGGCGGUCAGGUAAGUGAGAUGUGAAAUGCCCCGGCUCACCCGGGGACCGGCAUCUCAUACUGCUUGGCUUGAGUACGGGAGAGGAUGUGGGAAUUCCUGGUGUAGCGGUGAAAUGCGUAGAUAUCAGGAGGAACACCGAUGGCGAAGGCAGGUCUCUGGGCAUUAACUGACGCUGAGGAGCGAAAGCAUGGGGAGCGAACAGG